rnacentral:misc_RNA from 1 species
UUUCUUCCUUAUUACACUAUAUCUUUUUAUGCUUGUAGUUUACCAUCUUGGCCAUUUCAUAUAUGCCGUUAUUUGUAAGCAUUUAUCUUGCUGUGGAUUGAGGGUUCGGGCUAGAAUUUUAUUUGGCGGCUUCUGACCUGUAACUUCUCCUAUUAUUUUUUUUUACUUUAAAAUGCUUUCAAACAAUUUGGCCUGUGAGCUAUAAAUUAAUCGCCUUUUUUCGUUCUGGGUCUGAUUACUAAGCCGGGAGGGAAAAUGAAGAAAUAAUCUCAGCAACGAUUAAACUCAUUUUUACUACUGCUUCUGUUGGUACAGCCAGAGAGGAACUCAAACAUUGUCUCCCGAUCUAUUAUUUCAAGAUGGAAUUGAACUGCUAGGACAAUCUAUUAUUUCAGAUGGAAUUGAACUGCUAGGACAAUCUAUUAUUUCAAGAUGGAAUUGAACUGCUAGGACAAUUUGAAUGAUUACGUUCAUCAUUCAAAUGGUAAAAUUCCAUUGCAAAAUGCAGAGCCUCAUUCUAGAAUGCUCUACUUAAUAUUUUCCAAUAAAUGUUGUAUUUGAAAUUUUAAAUUUGAUUAAAAAUAAGGAGUAACCACCACCCCUUGUUAGAGUUUAAAUGUGAGGUGUGAGAAAGUGGUAAAAAAUUGUGGAAUAAAACUGUUGUGUGGAUAAAUGGUGCAUAAGAUCUUGUGAGGUGCUUGCUUUAGCUGUAUUAUGCUGCAAAUUUAUUGUAUUUGAUAACUUGUAUCAUUGAAUCAGCAUGUUCAAGCUACUGCUCAUUACGAGCGAAUGUUCACUUCUCUCAUUUAAUGUGGAAUUAGGUUUAAAAUAGAAUGAAAUAUCUUUAGUUUUUCUAAGUGUUAAUUUGGGCUUGGAUGCAGGUGAGUUUGAGCGAGUAGCAGGACACACAUCAAAAGUAAAAGUGCACACAUAUGGCACACAGUUUGUUAUUACUGGAUCCAACUAUUUGUUUUUGUGCAACUGGUGCUGAAAUUUGUAUAUUUGGUUAUGUAUAAAGGUACAGGUGAUUUGGGCGAGCGACCCAGUUUCACAACGGAGGGAAGGAG